CCUGAUGCUUUAAAAGAACUGAACACAGUGAUCUCUUGGUAAGCCAUAACUCAAUUUGUCCUGUGACCUGUCUCUUUCCUAGAAAAAAUGUAGCUAGCAGUGCUGCUGGAGAGCUGAGCUUGCCAGGCAUCUGCAGUGCUCCAAACCAGAGUAAUGCCAAGGGAGCUGGAGAGCAGCUGAAACAGCUUGAGGAGAUGGGUGGAGGGAACAGGCCAACCACAAAAUUAAUCUUUGAAUUAAUAAAAGCCUGCAUGGUUUGAGGUUUGUGAAGCAAUAAACAAGUUCAAAUUUGCCAGAGACUGAAAAAGAAAAGCAAUUAGGUGUAAGGGAAACCUUCUAAUGUGGAUCAAGAUAAUAUGCUGGAAUACGCAUUGGGUUGAAAAAAAAUGAUGAGACGUUUACCUUUAAUUGAAAAUGACUACAGGAAUUUUGAUGAACAUGUUAAAGUAUGUAUCAGAGCAAAUCUUUUUACUCUUAUUACUAAUAGGGAAUGACGGAAUAAGAGCUUCUGUUUAAUAGCAGUAAUAACUUCAUAAUAUUUUUCCUUUGAGUCAUAUGGUAGGCUCUUUCACCAGCCAGUACUUAGUCCAAAAAGUAUCUUAGACUUUUCCUCAUCACAGCCUCAUUUCUGGGUAUGUGUGGAUGAAUGUCUGCUACUCCCAUUUAUGUGUGCUGCCUCUGGUUUUCUCUGAAUAUCCCAGCAGAAGAGCACCCAUUUUGGUGCUCCUGCCUUCAUGUGACUGUUUUGGCAGUGCUGCCUCUUGCCCCAUGCCCUCCCUGCAGCCUCGGUAGCACUGCCGCUCACUGCACGGCCCAGGAAGAAGGGCAGCUUCGUCCUGCUCUGCCAAGCCAACGCGAGGAGAAGACUGGCUUUGCGUGAGAUGCGAUGGGAGCUGUGUAACAAUGUUUGGGCUGUAUGAAGAACUGGUUAAUAACCAUCCAUAAAACCAGAGCUGGAAAACUUGCACAUGGAAGUAUUUUUAAAAUUGCCCAACAAGGUCAUCAAACCUUUAAUACUGAUUUCUCAGCAAAUACCAUGUCACUGAAUUUCCAGAGAUUCAGGGGAAAUAACUGUUGAGUCAUUAUCCCGAAACAGUAACUGCCAUGUCCUAGGUUUCUUGUUGGCUCACCUUGCUGGGCUGACUCAUGUGGGGGCUGUGUGAGAAGCACCUUGAGUGUGCCACCGCGGUGAUGCGAUGGGCUCAGGUCAUUUACCCUAUGGAACCUGCUCUGGCUGCACGCUGUAAGAUGCAAUGCUGACCGAUCCCCUUGGUCUGCAAGGAAGGAGAACUGCUGGAAAAAAAGUGUACUGUGUGAAAAUAUAGAUCCUCGUAUGGCUUACAGACCCCUCAGUGAUUUAUGGUGCUCCUCAGAAUCUUAAACUGAUGCACCUGGAAAAUGAACCCGGAGGUGCACUUAGUGAACACACCGGUGUUUAUAGAUGAGCUGGAAGCAUUUAGAAAUGGUUCUGGUACAGCACUUGGAACGAUGCACACGUUGGUGGGGCAGUAAUCAAGAGCAGGUCAGCUCAGCCCCACAGCUGGCUGAGUGUAUCUGAGCAGUACACACAUCUGACGGAGUUAAGCACCGGCUUCUAGGAACCCAAACAGAGCACACGAACUUCAGUCGAGCGUGUUGCCGCGAGCAGUGACACGGAAAAGGGCUGCCUGCGAGGAGAGACACACUGCUCGGGCACCUCUACGCUGGCAGAUAAGCCUAUCGUGAGGUGGCUGCUGGCAGCAGCAUGGUAGGAUGGGUUAUUAAAGGCAGGCGUGUGUCUGGAGGCACGUGUGGAAGCAGAGAGAUACCAGCCCUUCACACUCCUCUUGGGAUCCGGCCAGCAGGACCUGGGGCUGGUUUCCCAAAGCGCUGGGGUUUGGCUGUCCCCUGGACAUGCUGCCAGGCUCCUCUGCAGGUGGUGUCUGUGGGCUUUCCCAGGGCUCUCCCCACAGAUGACCACCUCCGACGGGGCGAUUUUCCAUCAGCCGUUUCCCUCCUCUCCCUCAGCGCUCUCCAACAGCCUUGCGGCCACACGUGCCUUUAGGGACGGAUAUUUGGCAAGUGGCAGUGUGGUUUUAGAUGCUAUCGGCCUAGCAGCUGGAGGCAAGAACGUGCCGGGCCUGCAGGACCACACAGCUCCCUGCAGCCUGACAGCGAGGCCCAUGGGAGCUGGGAUCGCCUUCGCCCGGCUCUGCCAGCCCGUGCUGGGAACGGCACCGGCACUGCUGUGGGCAUGGCAGUGCCCGAGGGAUGUGGUUCGGUGGUGGUGGUGGUGGCAGGGGUUGUGGGAUGGGAUGGCCUUGGAGGUCUGUUCCCACCUC